rnacentral:lncRNA from 1 species
UACUGUUCUGGCCAUUAUGUGGAAUCUACUGUGGUGAAAUGCAGAAGGAGGGAAUUUUGCCUUAAUGCAAUCCCGUUGACACAGUCUCCAUGUCCCUCUUCCCUCCCUCCCCUCCAUCUCCUUCAGAAUUGCCUUAAUGAAGAACCAAUAUCCAAUGAUGUGAAAAGCUUCUCCAAAUAAAAUGUUCUAUAAAGCCAAACGUGCAGACUUUGCUUUCAGUAAUGGACAUGCUAAUGGGGAAGCAUGUAUCAUAUAGCUGCGAUAGGGAUGGAUUUCAGAACAAACACACUGGGCUUGCUAAGGACCUGUCGUACACAUAGUUACUGAAACCAUGGAGUGCAGGAAGUGGGAAGAAGGGGCUACUUUCUCCUCCUCCUCACUAUUACAGCCCUGGGGCCAGGCACCUUGCCAUAUGGCCCUCCCCAUUGCUACUGCUCUGUCCCCAGGCUGUGUUUUGGGGCACUAUCCCUGAAUCCCAGCCUGAAGCUCUGUACCAUUCGUGACCRUCCCCUCACCAGCCCUAGCACCAAUGCAACAGGGAGAGCUAACCACAAGAUGGCAGUGAAACUAUCUUGAGCUUCAGAGGCUGGCAUGGGUGAAUAUAGCCACACAGCUCUUAAAACACUCUCCUCCGGGAAACGGUGAAAAACCGGGAUAUUUAACCCUGAGCAAAAUGCUAGCACCUGUCAGUGUGCAAAAGGGAAUAAGCUCUGUUGGCAGGGAUAAUAUAGUAAACAUUUUACCAUAUCUUCAUCUCUAUCUCUAUAAUCUCCAGUGAGAUAUAAAGCUGUCCUGGACCUGAAGAUGUGGGAAUAGCUGCAUUCUGGUAGAGGAAUAUAAACACUUUUUCUAUGGGCUUGAGGUUUUGCUUUCAUGGACUGUGGCUACAGGAUCCAUGACAAAUUGAUCACAAAAAACAGGGAUCUGGAACUUUUUGCUGUCACUUUUCUCCAACAUUUCCAUCAUCCUUAGAGGGGGCAGCUGUCUUUAGGAUCACUCUCAAAACACGGGGGCUUUGUAAACACUUUCAUUAUUGAUUUUCAUUGCACAAUUAAUCAUAAGUUUCAAAGCUUCAAAAAGGUUUAGAUAUUUGUACAAAUAAGAAUAAAGCAUCAUUGGUUAGACUAGCUAGGAGAAAA